AUGUCCUCCUCGGCUCCCGUCGCCCUCAACCUUGGUGCGCCACCUGCCAAGAAGCUUACCAAGGGGAACUUUCUCCUAUGGAAGGCUCAAGUGAUGCCGGCCUUGCGAGGAGCGCAGGUCACCGGCCUCCUAGAUGGAACCGACGCAGCGCCCCCGAAGACGGAGGAGCAGCAGCAGUCGGACAAGACGACGGUCACGGUGCCCAAUCCCCUCUAUGCGCCAUGGCUGUCCAAAGAUCAGCAAGUUCUCAGCUAUCUCCUGAACUCUCUGUCGAAGGAAAUCCUCGCCCAAGUUGUGAGUAAAGAAAAUACCUUUGAUUUAUGGACUGCUAUCAUCACUAUGUUUGCCUCGCAGUCUCAAUCUCGAAUCACGAAUUUGAGAAUUGCUAUCACCACCACCAAGAAGGGCUCCAUGUCAAGCUCCUCCUACAUCGCCCGGAUGAAAAAUCUGGGGGAUGAACUUGCUGCAGCAGGCCGGCCUGUCUCCGAUCCAGAGAUGGUGGACUAUGUCCUUGCCGGCCUCGAUCGGGACUAUGAUCCGGUCGUGGCGGCGAUUGGCGCCGUCAAAACCUCCAUCACCGUCGACGAACUUUUUGCCCAGAUCGCUGCCUUCGAUCAACGGGUAGAGAUGCUAGGCGACGGUCCAGAAGCUGGCUUCAACACCUCCGUGAACCUAGUGUACAGGGGGCGUGGUCAGCCUCGUGGCAGAGGGCGCGGGCGCGGCAACAGAGGCCGCGGCCGAGGGAGACGCUCGCCCUCCUCCUCUUCUUCAAGCGGCGGCAACAAGAGAGGUGGUCAUCCCCAACAACAGCAGCAGCAACGUCCACAACACCGGGACUAUCCCGAGUGCCAAAUAUGCCUCAAGCAUCACCGCGGAGGAGCCCGUGAGUGUUGGGAUCGCUAUGAGGACGAUGAGUAUGAAGAAAAGGAGGCAAACAUCGUCACCGACUCCUACGGCGUCGACACAAACUGGUAUGCGGACUCCGGUGCCACUAAUCAUAUUACAGGAGAACUCAACAAGCUGACCGUCAGAGACAAGUACCGUGGACAUGACCAAGUGCACACGGCAAGUGGAUCUGGAUUUGGACACGAGGAGAAUACUUCUUAG
rnacentral:rRNA from 1 species